CCGAGUUCAUGCCCUUACGGGUAGAUCUCCCACCCUAUGUUAUAUUACCUUUGUUGCUUUGGCGGGCCGACAGGCUUCGGUCAGUCUACCGGCUCCGGCUGGUAAGCGCCCGCCAGAGGACCCCAAACUCUGAAAUUUAGUGUCGUCUGAGUACUAUCUAAUAGUUA
rnacentral:misc_RNA from 1 species